UACGUAGGGUGCAAGCGUUGUCCGGAAUUAUUGGGCGUAAAGAGCUCGUAGGCGGUUUGUUGCGUCGGCUGUGAAAUCCCGAGGCUCAACCUCGGGUCUGCAGUCGAUACGAGCAAACUAGAGUGUUGCAGGGGAGACUGGAAUUCCUGGUGUAGCGGUGAAAUGCGCAGAUAUCAGGAGGAACACCAGUGGCGAAGGCGGGUCUCUGGGCAACAACUGACGCUGAGGAGCGAAAGCGUGGGGAGCGAACAGG
rnacentral:rRNA from 1 species